rnacentral:misc_RNA from 1 species
UCUCCGUUGGUGAACCAGCGGAGGGAUCAUUAUAGAGUUUUCUAAACUCCCAACCCAUGUGAACUUACCAUUGUUGCCUCGGCAGAAGCUGCUCGGUAUACCUUACCUUGGAACGGCCUACCCUGUAGCUGUAGCGCCUUACCCUGGAACGGCUUACCCUGUAACGGCUGCCGGUGGACUACCAAACUCUUGUUAUUUUAUUGUAAUCUGAGCGUCUUAUUUUAAUAAGUCAAAACUUUCAACAACGGAUCUCUUGGUUCUGGCAUCGAUGAAGAACGCAGC